AGAACACCUAAGGUAGUUUGGGAAUGCCAGUAAAUGUGGAAAUCAUGGAAAUGGCAUCCACUGAAGAAGUUUGAAAAGCAGAAUAAGAGAUCACACCUCUUAAAGCACCAUCAAGGGAAGAGAUUCCUGGGCAAGACAAGCUCCACAAGCUUAAACUAGAAAGUAUCAUGAAGCUAAUAACAUGCAUUCAUUAGCUUCUAACUGGAAAUUUUGGAGGCCUAUUUUCCUGUUGUCAUGAACAACUGUGAAAAUUAUGAUUGCAGCAGAGUUUAGUAUCUCCAGUUUGCUGUUCUUGGUUACUGCUGAGGGUGACAUGGGAGAAUGGUGAGAUCUCUCCGUGGUGUGGAUGAUGGAAAGCCUGAGAGCUUACCUUCUCUUACCUUCAUGAACAAAAUACUUCAGCUACACUUAUAAGAUGUUAUCAACAUCCCACUGCAAGGAUGAAUGAAGUGAUAUAUCUGGCUCGUGGACCAAGACAUGAAGAGUGUUUUCCCUUGCUCUUAACAGAUGCCAGCAGCAGCACACAGCUGAACUGGCUCUUCCAAAAGUUAAUCCCUUUUGAACAUGGCUGCUGAUAUGUUCAUACCUCAUGCUUAUAUGUCUUGGCUUUUAGUUUUACAUAUUGAAUUGCUUGGAGAAGGUCAAUAUGUACAGCAACAAAAUUCCCACUGACUACGAGUCCAGCUGCUCCUGCCCCAUAUUUCCAUCAGAUUCCCACCUCUGUCUGAAUAUAGCAAUGAUAUAAUUGGAUUGCACAAGAGCAAAGCUGACUGUUUUAAGGCCAGGUGGUAGAAAUAUUUUGCUUUGUGCAUAUUUAUUUCUUUAGUGUAUUUUACAGACAUUCUAACACAUUGCUCUGUUUUAGGUAAGAAUUAAAGCCAAGCUGCUUAACCCAGGGCUUUUGCAGCACUAGGUCAGACAACAGUAUAUUGCUUUACAUAAGUUUACCACUGUUGUUCACCUGUACAUCCUAAUGUGUGGCCUGUGUACAGUGCUAUGUCUAAAUAAGUAUGCAUGGGGAAAAAUCUUUUGUAUGCAUGCAUUUAAUAUCUUGGAGAAGGGACAGAACUAAGCAAAGCUUAUAAAAAACUGGAAAAACAAAAACAAAAACUCCCAAUAAGCUAUUUUUAGCUCUGUACAAGAAACAUGUCAAUUGUUUUGAGAUAAUCUUUAUUGGAAACUGCUUGAAGUAUAAACAUAUGGACAUUAUAACCCUUUGAAAAAGGUUUGCCUGUGCUCUGCUGAACUGUUGGUUUAUGCUGAGAAACUGCUAUUUUAUAGUCUUAAAAUAAUGGAAAGGAAUUAGAAUUGUUUACAAAUUGCUUACUAUAAAUUAAUCUUGAGGUAUGGCAUACUUCUUGCAAACUGCUUGAUCAUCUACAACUUGUUAGUAUCCCUUAAUUACCAGCUCACCAGAAUAUCAGUUUGUAAAUCCAGAACUCUAGUAAGCAUUUACCACAGAACUUGUAAAGCAAGUUGGAAUUAGGUGUAAACAUACUUUUCAGCGUUACUUGUGUUGCUGAAAAGAGAUAUUGUUGCCAUGGUAGCACAAUAUCAGGCUUUUGGGUAAAACUGAAUUAUCUACCCCACUGCUCAUUUAAAUCACAGUUGGUGAGUCAGUUCCUACAGACUCCUUGAGUUCUGGAUGUUUCCUGAUGCUGAGUGAUAUGAACCGCUGUGUUUUGUUUUGUUUUGUUUUCUUUUCUUUUGUUUAGUUUUAAGAAAAACUGACUGUUUACAUGCAUACCUGUCAUGAAGCAGAGAUCUCUAAUGGGAACUAAAAUCAGGAGUGGCAUUUAGAAAGGCAUGGAUUAGCUGAUAUCUACAGCUUAACUUCAUGUAACCAAGGGAAAGAUGCAAGUCUUUGCCCCUUCGUUUUCCAUGAUUUCCUUUUACAUGUGUAGAGUGUUUUGCAUACCUGUGACCUUUCAAUUAACAUUAUUUAUAUCUCAGUAAACUGCCAUGCUACUUUUCCAGAUGUCCUAAUCCUUUAUGUAAAUGAAUUUAUGAAACCCAGGCACUCGCCUUCAAUGAAACCUGCCAAAUCCACUGUGUCUGGACCCACAUGCACUGUAGACUAAGCU